rnacentral:lncRNA from 1 species
AUGUUUACACUUGUUUUGUAACAUUUUGUAUUGGUUCCGCUAUUAUCCGCUAGGGUAACUUAGUGUCAACGUCAAAUUAUAAAAAAAAAUUAAAAUAUGAAUGGUUUGAAGUCUUGGAAAAAUUAAGCCAUGGCAUCUUUAAAUAUUAUUAUUAUUUUGCCGACUCUUUUUGUGUAGAGGUAACAACAAAUUAAUCCAUAAACAAUCUUGGUUUAAUUAGGCGAAAUCAUCGAUUUUUCGCCUUAAGGUCCUGAGCGGCUUCGCCUUAAUCCAACGAAGCGAGGUUAUCAUGGUUAUAGGCUUCAAGGUCACCAACUGCAUAAAUCAUGUCAAAAAUUUUAUUUCUGAUUAUUCUUUAUUACCUUAGUUGUAAUGAAGCUCAUAACUCAAGGAAUAUUAAUUUAGGUUAUCUGUUGCUGCCUUGGUUUAUGAAACAGGUUUAAAGGAGAGCUUCCCAUUUCACAAAUGAGGUAUGCACCGUUUGCCCAAGAUCAAUAACACAAAUACAGCCAAGUAUAUAAAGUGGGUAUAAGAAAGCAAAUAAUAAGGUCUUUUCUCCACGUUAACAAAGAAAGAUGGAACACACUGUUUCUAAGAUGUUUCUAGAUGACAACAUAGGAAAUGACCAAUUUAUUAACAGCUAGAUACAACAUAAGCCAAGUGAUGAACGCAGAAAUGGUACUCUUAUUAAACAUUUAUGGAGAAAGACAUUGAGAUUAAUGGUAUAGAUUUCGUUUGCUAAAUAUUAUCCGCAGCAAAACUUGUUUAGUGUCAUUUUCUCGUGUUCUCUGCUUUCUAGCAACAAACAUUUUUGGAAAGCAACGCAUAUCCUCCUGAUGACAACUCAAAUUUGUACGAGAGCAGUUAUGGUUAGAGUCAUGAUUGUAUGAACGUUGUCCAUGAACCCUGGAAUUGCUAAAAUAACCAACUACAUGUUAGUGAAAUUACUGUAAACAGAGAAUAAUAAAAAAAAGGUAUGAACCUAGCAGUUACAUUAAUAAUGAAAAUUUAAUUAGAAUCAUAAGUAGAAAUAUUUGUCAAUGAUAUGAAAAUGCAGAAAUUUAGAGUCUAAUAGUUAGGUUGCCAUGAAGAUUGAGUUAGGUACGGUACGAAUCGUGCUUUUAGUUAAAUGGUAAGCAGAAGCAUAAGAAAAUGCCUAGGAGAUAAGUAACGAUAAUGCUUAAAAAGAAGAUAGAAAAUCAUUAUCAUCAAAAUCAUCAGGCUGGAAGAGGAUGAGAGACUAGAUUAAGGACAAUAAAGAGCGGCGAUAUCUUUCCAAACAAGGGAACUAAUUCUGGGGAAGUAAUUUGGCAGACCGGGGAGCAGCUAUCCUAAAGAGACUGUCAUAGACAUAACGAUGGGACGAUGGCCACAAAACGUUUAUAAGAUAUUGUGAAAGUUGAGACGAAGAAGAUAUGCUAAAACUUUAAAUACUCCCAAAACGGUGAUAAAUAUGCAACGGAAACAUCAACAGUUUAACAUAUUUAGCUAAUAGAGUUAAUAUAUAGGUUGAAGAUAAAAGACUGCAAAAAAUAUCAAUAUUGUUGUAUCUAUUUCAUUUAUGCAAACGAGUUGUAUUAAAUACCAGAUAUUUUUACAUAAUUAGAAAAGUAUAUAAUUAAGUUAUUUAUAUUAUGUUCAUAUUAAAUUUCAAUUUA